GAUGAACGCUGGCGGCGUGCCUAAUACAUGCAAGUCGAGCGAACAGACGAGGAGCUUGCUCCUCUGACGUUAGCGGCGGACGGGUGAGUAACACGUGGAUAACCUACCUAUAAGACUGGGAUAAUUUCGGGACACCGGAGCUAAUACCGGAUAAUCUAUUGCACCGCAUGGUUGAUUAGUGAAAGACGGUUUUGCUGUCACUUAUCGCUGGUUACGAGCCGCAUUGGCUAGUUGGUAAGGUAAAGGGUUAUCAAGGGAACGAUGCGUAGGCGACGUGUGGGGGUGGUCGGCCACACUGGAACUGGAACACGGUCCAGACUACUGCGGGAGGCAGCAGAAGGGAAUGUUCCGCAGUAGGCGAAAGCCUGACGGAGCAAGGCCGCGUGAGUGAUGGAGGUCUUGGGAUCGGGAAACUCUGUUAUGAGUGAAGAACAAAUGUGUAAGUAACUAUGCACGUCGUGACGGUAACUGAUCAGAAAGCCACGGCUAACUACGUG
rnacentral:rRNA from 1 species